CAGGGUCAGUGAUGAUUAAUUAAGCAUAGUUCAGAUGAUAAUCUGUGAUUAUUAAAUCUUUAGUCUUUCGCUCCUAUCUGAUGACCCAU